GACGAACGCUGGCGGCGUGCUUAACACAUGCAAGUCGAACGAAGUGGCGAACGGGUGAGUAACGCGUAAUAAACCUGCCCUUCAGAGGGGGACAACAGUUGGAAACGACUGCUAAUAGCGCAGACUGACGGAGGGGAGUGCGUCUGAUUAGUUAUUUGGAGGGGUAACGGCCGACCAAGGCGAUGAUCAGUAGCCGGUCUGAGAGGAUGAACGGCCACAUUGGGACUGAGACACGGCCCAGACUCCUACGGGAGGCAGCAUGGGGGAAUCUUCCGCAAUGGACGAAAGUCUGACGGAGCAACGCCGCGUGAGUGAUGACGGCCUUCGGGUUGUAAAGCUCUGUUAAUCGGGACGCGGUACCGGAAUAGAAAGCCACGGCUAACUACGUGCCAGCCGCCGCGGUAAUUC
rnacentral:rRNA from 1 species